rnacentral:rRNA from 1 species
GAUUUCUGACUUGGUGCGCCUAGCCCGCCGGCGUCAGCCGUGUGUGUGCUGGUGCGCGUCGUGUCAUCCUUGUAGAAAUCUCGCGUACCCUUCACUGGGUGGCGCGAGCGAUCUACAUCUUUUACUUUGAAAAAAUUAGAGUGUUCAAAGCAGGCUUACGCUGUGAAUACAUUAGCAUGGAAUAAUAAUUUAGGACUUCGGUUCCUAUUUUGUUGGUUUCUAGGACUGAAGUAAUGAUUGAUAGGGAUAGUUGGGGGUGCUAGUAUUCAGCGGCCAGAGGUGAAAUUCUUGGAUUCGCUGAAGACUAACUAAUGCGAAAGCAUU